UGGCUCGGUUUCCUGGGAGGUGGGCUCAGUGUACACCACCUCCUCUCAGCUGAGCCUAGAGUACAGAGGCAAAGUGUACACCUGUGAGGAAGAGGUGCUUAAGCAGGGAGCCUUGCUCGGCUGUCCUAGCCUCACAUUU
rnacentral:snoRNA from 1 species